AAUAGAUACCCGGGUAGUCCACGCCGUAAACGAUGGAUACUAGCUGUUCGGGAUUACCUGAGUGGCUAAGCGAAAGUGAUAAGUAUCCCACCUGGGGAGUACGGGCGCAAGCCUGAAACUCAAAGGAAUUGACGGGGGCCCGCACAAGCGGUGGAGCAUGUGGUUUAAUUCGAUGAUACGCGAGGAACCUUACCAGGGCUUAAAUGUAGGUUGCAUGAUCCAGAGAUGGGUCUUUCUUCGGACCACCUACAAGGUGCUGCAUGGUUGUCGUCAGCUCGUGCCGUGAGGUGUCAGGUUAAGUCCUAUAACGAGCGCAACCCCUAUUGUUAGUUGCCAGCGAGUCAUGUCGGGAACUCUAGCAAGACUGCCGGUGCAAACCGUGAGGAAGGUGGGGAUGACGUCAAAUCAUCACGGCCCUUACGUCCUGGGCUACACACGUGCUACAAUGGUGGGGACAGAGAGCAGCCACUGGGCGACCAGGAGCGAAUCUAUAAACCCCAUCACAGUUCGGAUCGGAGUCUGCAACUCG
rnacentral:rRNA from 1 species